AGAAACGGUGGGAGCUAAUAUCUCCCACUAAUGACGGUACCUGAAGAAUAAGCACCGGCUAACUACGUGCCAGCAGCCGCGGUAAUACGUAGGGUGCAAGCGUUAAUCGGAAUUACUGGGCGUAAAGCGUGCGCAGGCGGUUUUGUAAGUCUGACGUGAAAUCCCCGGGCUCAACCUGGGAAUUGCGUUGGAGACUGCAAGGCUAGAAUCUGGCAGAGGGGGGUAGAAUUCCACGUGUAGCAUUGAAAUGCGUAAAGAUGUGGAGGAACACCGAUGGCGAAGGCAGCCCCCUGGGUCAAGAUUGACGCUCAUGCACGAAAGCGUGGGGAGCAAACAGGAUUAGAUACCCUGGUAGUCCACGCCCUAAACGAUGUCUACUAGUUGUCGGGUUUUAAUUAACUUGGUAACGCAGCUAACGCGUGAAGUACACCGCCUGGGGAGUACGGUCGCAAGAUUAAAACUCAAAGGAAUUGACGGGGACCCGCACAAGCGGUGGAUGAUGUGGAUUAAUUCUAUGCAACGCGAAAAACCUUACCUACCCUUGACAUGGAUGGAAUCCCGGAGAGAUCUGGGAGUGCCCGAUAGGGAACCAUUACACACGUGCUGCAUGGCUGUCGUCA
rnacentral:rRNA from 1 species